rnacentral:rRNA from 1 species
GACGAACGCUGGCGGCGUGCUUAACACGUGCAAGUCGAACGGAAAGGCCCUGCUUUUGUGGGGUGCUCGAGUGGCGAACGGGUGAGUAACACGUGAGUAACCUGCCCUUGACUUUGGGAUAACUUCAGGAAACUGGGGCUAAUACCGGAUAGGAGCUCCUGCUGCAUGGUGGGGGUUGGAAAGUUUCGGCGGUUGGGGAUGGACUCGCGGCUUAUCAGCUUGCUGGUGGGGUAGUGGCUUACCAAGGCUUUGACGGGUAGCCGGCCUGAGAGGGUGACCGGCCACAUUAGGCCUGAGAUGAGGCCCAGGAUCCUACGGGACGCAGCGGUGGGGAAUAUUGCGCAAUGGGCGGAAGCCUGAUGCAGCAACGCCGCGUGCGGGAUGACGGACUUCGGGUUGUAAACCGCUUUCGCCUGUGACGAAGCGUGAGUGACGGUAAUGGGUAAAAAAGCACCGGCUAACUACGUG